rnacentral:rRNA from 1 species
UACAGAGGGGGCAAGCGUUGUUCGGAAUUACUGGGCGUAAAGGGCGCGUAGGCGGCCUUCUAAGUCGAACGUGAAAUCCCUGGGCUCAACCCAGGAACUGCGUCCGAGACUGGGAGGCUAGAAUCCGGGAGAGGGAUGUGGAAUUCCAGGUGUAGCGGUGAAAUGCGUAGAUAUCUGGAGGAACAUCGGUGGCGAAGGCGGCAUCCUGGACCGGCAUUGACGCUGAGUGAGCGAAAGCCAGGGAGCAAACGGG